UAAAAGGCUACCUUAAGGCACGCUUUCUGCCUAGGCGUAGGCUUAAAUGCAGCGAUUGCUCUGGUAAAAUCAUGCAGGCGCAAAAAGUGCACAGUAGGAGGGAAAAGCUUAAGCCUCAGUAAGUCUGCUGUAGUUCGGUUGAUGCAGAACUCAGGCUCCUUGCAAUUAUGCAAGUCUGCUGUAGUUCAGUAGAGCUUAGUUGAUAAGAUCUUCACGUUUUGGAUUGCUCCAGUGUUCAUGGGAUUUACAUGGAAAUGUUCCCUA